GAACUAUCGAUCUCGCGCGGAAAAGUUCCCGGCGGUACCUUUGACACGUAUACUUCGAAAUUAAAUGUCUCCGAAGUUGUUCCAAUCGUCUCCAGGAAAUUUCCUUGACGAAGUUUCGACAUGAAUCUCGCGAACGUGAGGCAGUGGCUGCAACGGGGGGACCUAGAAAAAUUGGAGAACGUCGUCCUGGAAGGACGAGGGGCUCGACUACUGGGAGAACACUCUCCGGACCUAAGAACCCGCGUUUUUCUCAAAGGACUACCGAAUUACCUGACGAAGAUCAGCCAGGUCCACGACGCCGUAACGAGAGGAUCCUUGGCAGAGACUCAGAGGAUAAUCUCGGAGGAGCCGAAGAAAAAAUUGGCGCUAUCGAAGGAUCCCUCUGGCACCCCUUUGGUCCACAAGGCCGUCUACCAUGAUCACCAGGACAUCGUGCAGUGGCUCAUCGAGCAGUAUCCUGAAGUCACCCGUCAAAGAGACAGGGAAGGGCGCAGUGCGCUGCACUACUGCGCAGCGUGUGGAGACCCCGACUCGGCGUGGGACGUACUCGUCGAGGGUGGCUGCGACUCCUCGAUCUGCGACAAGAAGGGAAAUCCCGCAGCCUACUACCUGGAGAAUUCUUCGGAAAUCGAGCUCCCCGAGUCGGAAAGGAUGCCCCAGAGAAGAAAACCCGGAGGAAAGGAGGAAAAACCCCGUUCCAUCCUUUCAGCCCUGGACUUCAAGCCAUCCAAUAUCAGAAUCUGGAUCCACAAUCGGGACAUCGGGAAACUCCAGCAGGUCCUGUGGGAGGGCCACGGAGGAAAACUCAGGUGUGAGACCAGCAACAACCCUCGGGUCAGGAAAUUCCUGGAGGCCGUUCCUUUCAUCAUGGGCACCAUAAAGGAUAUCCAUGGUGCGGCGAUCGGGAACGACGUCCAGAAGUUCCAGGAAAAAAUCGCCGAUCCCGUUUCCCCGGUGAUUCUGGGUAGCAAGGACUCGAACGGACUUACCGCUCUACACAAGGCUGCGGGACUGGGACACACGGAAAUAGCCCAGAUAAUAAUCGACAAGUAUCCUGCUGGCAUGAACGUGCAGGACAACGAGGGAAGGACUCCCUUACACUAUGCGGCAGCCGCGAAAGACGGAGGGGUGGUUUACAAUUUGUUAGUGCAAAAUGGAGCGGACGACAGCAAGCUGGACAAUAAGCAGAAAGCAGCGGCUUUUUACAAGAAUCGACCCUCGGACGUGGACGGAUCGAACCUGACGGUGCUUCCCGAAGCUCCUCGGGUCCAUGGAAAUACGUAUCCCAAAGGAUGGGACUGGAGGAUCCUGGAAGCCGAGGGGAUCGCCGCUCGCGUCCCGAAGAGAUCCCCGAAGAGGUCCCCCGACGGCGCGUUCGGGGCUGCAGGGAUCUCAGAAGUCACCCCUGAAGAGGACCAACGCGAGGAUUCGGGGGGCCGGGAGGAUUUUAAGGACGAUCUGGUGGAACAGAUUAAGCGAGCGGACGAGGAACUGACGAGGGAAGUCGAGAGGGAGGAGGAACACUCCGAGGAACCCGAGCCGGAGCCGGAAGCGACCCCGGAAAGGACGUCGGAAGUCGACGGUCGAGAAGACGAGGCGGAAACCGAGGAACCCGAAGAACCAUCCACGGACGACGACGUAGUCCUGGGCACUGGUCCUACCAAUCACGAAGAGAAUCCCGAAGAACCAGGGAACCAAGGCGAAGAGGACGAAAAAUCCGAAGCCACGCGAGAUCCUCAGGACCCAGAAUGGACCGAAGUCGACCAGGAGGUCCCGGACCCUGGAACGGGCGACUCCGGCGUGGACGUUCCUGCCCAGGACGAAGACCAGGUCAUCGAGGGAGAGCACGAGGAGCUCGCCGAGGCCGAGCUGAACGAGGGUAGUAUGUCGGCGGACCCGGAAGUGCAGGACCUCCUGGAGAACGGGAGCAUGGAGCAGCUGGCCGCUCUCGUCCUCAACGGGGAAGGACGUCGCCUCGUCGGCAGGCAGUCCGGCAACCCCGAGCUCCAGGCCUUCAUCGACAACGUCCCCUCCUACAUGGGGAAGAUCCACGCGGUGCACAUGGCAGCCAGGGAGGGCAACCUGCGAGACCUGCAGAGUGCCCUGGACAGGCGCAAAUUCGCCAUCGCGAGGGACGGAUCCUCCCCCCAUGGCGCCACCCCGCUUCACGUGGCCGUCGUCUUUGGUCGCACCUCCGUGGUCAGGUACCUGGCAGGCAGGUUUCCGGAGACGACGCACGCGGUCGACUUGGACGGCAGGACCCCGCUGCACUACGCCGCGACCUUGGCCGAUAACGGGCACUACUACAAUUUACUGAUACGCCUGGGCGCCAAUCCCCUCGUCCAAGACAACUUCGAGCACACGGCGGAGUUCUAUCAGCGAGACCACGAGGACCUCUCUCACAGGAAACUCCUGCGGGACUUCGGGGCCUCCGAGAAGCUCGCCGAGGAGAUGCUGACGGACAAAGUGCCAGGAGGCGACGCGGUUUCGGCCCGGCGCGACGUGGACGAGGCGGAGACGCUGGCGACGCUGGAGCGGUGCUUUCGGCUCCUGGGGAGCACGAGGCGGGGCGCCGCCCGAGCCCCGGGGACCCCCGGUACACCGCUGGGUCGGCUGCUGACGAGGCCCGUCUUCGACGGCAUCAAGCACCGAGUGACUCGCAUGGACCACAAUCUGUUCGACGUGAUCUGGCCGGCGCUGCGGAGGUGGGGGGGCGCGGGCUCGGGGGGGUCGGCGGAGUCUCUGGGUUCGGGGGGUCCGGGAGAGGACACGUUCCCGGGGGGGCCCGUUGUGGCUCCGGACUUCGAGAGCUAUUUCGUCUUCCAAGAGCUGUUCGACCCCCUCCUGCGCGAGCUACACCUGUUGACGGCCACCGGGGACCUGCCGGACCAGCCCGAGCCCCUCUUCGUCGCGGAGGGGCCCGGGCCCCCGGACAAUCUGGACCCCGGAGGGCGACACGUGCUGGCCGGGGCAGUGGAGUGCAGUCGCAACCUGGAGGCCUUCUGCCUCCCUCCGGGCCUGACGGAGUCGCAGCUCGAGGAGGUCGAGCGAUAUAUGAGGUCUCGACUGGCGGGCCCCGAGUUCGAGAUCGCCGCGGGCGGCAGGGGGGUCUACCACCCCUUGAGGGAGAUCCUGGAGCUCGGAAUGGAGGCCAGCGAGCUGGGGGCCCGCUUGGCGGCCGCAGGCCUCGCGCUGCCCCUGGAGGAGCUGACGGGCCCCGAUUCGCGUCGCCUUCACGGGCCCCAUUGGCCCAGAGGGAGGGGCGUCUUCGUCUUCGGAGAAGGUCGAAUGGCCGUUUGGAUCAACGUGAGGGAACACCUGAGGAUCGUCUGCGCCACCGACCGGGCCCAUCCCGGUCGGCUCGUGGAGGCCUUUCGUACUCUGGAGAGGGCCCUGGAGGUCCUGGGCCGAGGGGCCCCUUUUCGCUGGGACAGGAAGCUCGGGUUUCUGGGGUCCAGGCCCGUGGCUCUGGGAAACACUCUUCGGUUCCUCUUGCUCGUUCGCCUGCCCCGGCUCUCCAGGGACGGCAAGAGCUUCGCGCAUCUGUGCGCCGCCCGCGGUCUCUGGGCCCGACCCUCUCCUCGCAGGACCGACACCUUGGAAGUCGGGAACCUGCAGUGCCUCUCUCUCACCGAGGCUCAGACUCUCGGCGAUUUCUCGCGAGCGCUCCUCAACGUCCUCGCCCUGGAGCGCGAGGCCGCCCUCGGGAACCCCCUCCAGAUCGCCAACCUCCUCGCCCGAGUCGUUCGCAAGCGACUCCCCAACUCCAGACGCAGCUCCAGGGUCGAGUGAUCGUCCCCGGAGCCGGCGCGGUCCUUCUCCUGUUUGGGUUCCCCGAGGACGCUUUCGAAGGACAGCCAGAUGGACGCCCCGAUCUUCCGAACGGAGGAGGGUCGCUACUUGGCCUCGUCUCUGGGUGAUCCGCUGAUAAAGGGCCUGACCGAGGUCGCCAAUACUCGCCCGAAGGAUCCCGUGACCUAUCUGGCCACGUACUUGUACAAUUUUGCAAGUAAAAAUAAACCCGGCCAAGAGACGCAGGAAUCGAACGUCCUGAUAAUCCCGGAGAGGCGUCAGGAGGGAGGCAGGAAUCACGAUGAGGGUGCCGAAGAGGACGCGGGGUACCCGCGGAGCCCCGACUCGGACGUCCCGGAGUCCGUCUUCAACGGGGCAAACAGGGACGAGCACGGGCAGAGCAUGAUCCAUUUCGCGGUGGUCCGUCCUCACGCGAAGGACGGGCUGUUUCACCUUCUUCAGGAAGCCCAGGUGAAUAUCGCGUACAGAGACGAGGUGUAUCGCACCCCUAGGGACGUGGCGGAACAGGCAAACAUCCGCGACAACGUCGAGGAAAUCGAUCGCUGGGUGGUCUACCUGGCGGCGAGAGGAGAGAUGGAGAAGCUGGUGGAGCUCCUCCUCGAGGGUUACGACCACAUUCUGGAUGCCGAUGACGGAGGCGCGAGCAUAGUGGACGUGGCCAACGAACGAGGCCACGAGGCGACGGUCCAGUUCUUGGAGUCGAUCCCGGAUUACGUGACCAGGAGAGAGGAGGUGCAUCAGGCGAUCCGCAGGGGAGACCUGGCGAAGGUGAAGGAGCUGUUCGACAGCAACGGAGGAGGCGGAAAGCUGCUGGCCGUUGGCAAGAACGUCUUCGGCCGAUGCGCCCUCCACAUCGCCGUCCUCGGAGAGCACGCCGACAUCGUGCGACUCAUCGUCGGCAUGUACCCGGAGACCCUGCGGACUGGCGACAACCUGGAGAGGACCGCUCUUCACUACGCCAUGGGAGUGCCUUCCGUGGAGACCAUGAGCAACAUCCUCAUCAAGGCCGGAGCAAAGAGGGUGGAGAAGGACCUGAAAGCGAGACAACCCUCCUACUACUUCAUGAACAAGUCCGACAUCCAGAGGCUGCAGGAGGAGGAGGAAACCAUGGUGGUCUCGUGAGAACGAGGGAGUCCGUAAAAGGUGCCAGACAACCGAGAGAGAGAUUAUUUAUCUACCAAUUUAUUUAUAAGUAGUAACGAUUCGUUGAGUUCGUCCCGAAUCAGCUGAUCGCGGCGAGUAGAAGAAGCAGCUCGAGUGCGCGGGGAAUCGCCUCCUAAUAAAUAUCUCAAAUUCAA